rnacentral:rRNA from 1 species
CUUUGAAAAAGAGUGACGGGCGAUUUGUGCAUAGUUAGUUUCCAAACAAUUAAGCAUAGAUUUUUCUUCCUAAUCUUAAUUUCAAGUCCUGUUUCCUUUAUUUUCUGUAUAUCUCCAUUUAUUUUCCCUCUUUGUAUCCCAUUAACUCCUUCUUCAUUUACUCUGCCUUGAUUUGUAUUUUAAAAAAAUAUUUUUCCAACAAAUCUUCUUAAAAAUUUAGUUUCAAACAAUGGUAUAGAAAUUAAAAGAAAAAGUCUAUUUUAUCGUGGGUUAUCUAUUAUAGCACAGGAUCCCCUGCUCAGUCUAUCUACCGCCAUAUUUUUCUAAAUUUCGUUUAUUUAACUACUUAUUUUAUUCUUUCUAAAA